AUACGGAGGACGCGAGCGUUAUCCGGAUUCAUUGGGUUUAAAGGGUGCGCAGGCGGCCGUGCAAGUCAGCGGUGAAAGCCCGGGGCUCAACCCCGGAAGUGCCGUUGAUACUGCAUGGCUGGAAUGCGGUCGAGGCGGGCGGAACGUGGCGGGGAGCGGGGAAAUGCGUAGAUAUGCCACAGAACGCCGAUAGCGGAGGCAGCUGGCCAGGCCUGCAUUGACGCUCGGGCACGAAAGCGUGGGGAUCGAACAGGAUUAGAUACCCUGGUAGUCCACGCCGUAAACGAUGGGCGCUCGUCGUCGGCGACAGACAGUCGGCGGCCAAGCGAAAGCGAUAAGCGCCCCACCUGGGGAGUACGGUCGCAAGGCUGAAACUCAAAUGAAUUGGCGGGG
rnacentral:rRNA from 1 species